GAGAGCCUGGCUAGGCAGGCUGGAAACAGUAGCUCUUAACGGUCCCCCGCCCGUUGGUGGCAAGGCGGCUGGACUGGAAUCCCAGCAGGCGACAUGCGAGGAGGCGGGCAGCCCAGGAGGGUUGGACACGGCAAUGUGGACCUCGCCGCUUCCACAACGAUGCUGGCUACUGAUCGCGUGCACUUCCUUGCCAAAGAAAAGAAAUUAAUGUUAUGACUGGAUGAAGACAAUUGUGAAGAAACUGCACUUUGAGGUUGUCUAUCUCUGUAUUCUGAUGGAAAAGCGUGGAGUUUAGAAGCACUGCUCACUCCUUCAGUUUCUAACAAGUUUGAGACUAUGGUUAGGUGGUGAGGAAGGCAGGCUCAGCACCCAAGCCUUGGGGAGACGCAGAAAGGGCCCAUCCCAGGCACUCAGGUGGAGCAGGUGGUCUGUCCUAGAGAACGUUCCAUGUGGAUUUGAGAAGAAUAUAUAUUCUCAUGUUGGAUGCAGUGCUGUGCAUAUGUUUGUUAGGUUUAGUUGUUUUAUGUUGUUGUUCAUGUUUUCUAUUUUUUAUCUUCUGUCUACUUGUUCUAUCCAUUAAUAUAAGUGAAGCAUUAAAGUCUCCAACUAUUACUGUUGAA
rnacentral:lncRNA from 1 species